AGUUGUAAUUUUAGUAUUUUAAAGGACUGUUUGAGAAGCUAGCCCUGACAACUCAAUGCUAAUGCCUAGCGCUAUAGGCCCAGUAUAAAAUGAAGUUGGUUUAUUUGACUGUUUACAUUUAUUGUUUUGUUUUAUUAGCUUCAUUUGGUGUGUUAGUGUUUCUGAGUCUGUUACAGAAGGUCCAGUUAGUUCUUCUCUUCCCAAAUUAGUCGGUUAAAACAGCCUCAUUCUUUAGGUUGUAAGGUUAUGUGAUGUAAUGAGCCGCCAUCUUAGAACCACUAAUUAGCUGCUGAAGCAGCAGGUUUGGCAACUUAAAAGGAGUCAUUUUACCGCCUCUGACUGAAUGCGGGGAGAGAAAGAGUCACGUGCCUGUGUGUGCAUUUGUCUGUGUUGCGGGUUAAUUAAGGGAAGGGGGAGAAAGAGUGAGAAUAAAACACAUAGUUACAUACAAGAAUAAGAAGGAGACUCAAAUUUUUAAGAACCGUUUAGCAAACAUGUGUUUGUGCUGUCUCACUUUUAAAUAAAAAGCUAAAUAUGCUGCUCUGUUUGACUUCUCACUUUGUGGAACAUUAAUAAAACAAAAAUGGCCCACCUUCAAAUAAAUAAACUGUAGCAGCGGGCCAUUAAUAUUAUUAAUGUUUUAUGUAGAUAUUUAUUUUUAAACAACAGCAUAUUAAUAUAUACUAAAUGAUACUGUGUGCAGUUGAUAAUAUUUUUAGGAAGCAGAAUUUGAAUGCAGGGCACCUCAAAUGUUAAAACCUACAAAUAUAUCAUCUAAGCUUUCAUUUAUAAUUGUUACAUGCUUUGAAAUUGUUAUGUCACCACUUGAUAAAGUGUGCAGUGCUAGGUGUAGCAAAUAAUUUCUAAUGAUAUUUACUGUCUUAUCUAAUAGCACCAAAGUAUUAGAGCUUCGUAUAUGGGACGGUUGUCAGUCAUCCAGGUCAUUGUAGUCUAAGAAGCUUGGAAAGGAAAGUGUCUGGACUUCUUUAAGUUGUGUGAAGCCUUUUACCUCGCAUCUAAGAAGAAGAUUCUCAGACGAGUGAAUCAGUGAAGAACUUAAAGAUGUCUAGACGCUUUUCUUUCCAAGCUCCUUAGAAUAUCACAGCUUAACAUUACUAAGAAACUUAUGUGGCUUACUGCAAGUGGAUGUAAUUACAUAUUGCUUUUAAUGAACAUGGCAAUUUUUAAUAAGGUUUCGAAAAAAACGAAAACAGAAGAGUUGUUGUUUGUAUUCCAGAGACUACAGAGAGUGAUGUAGCAUUGACUCUUAUGGUGAUUUUAAUUGUCUCAUUCUGUAUUUUUGUUACUUGUCUUUUGUUAGACGGAGUGAAAUACAAGCUUGAUUUUGUCAUUUGUGGUAAGUAAACAGUGAUUGUAACUGAAGCAAUAUGAACCUGGCAUUGUGUAACAUAUUUAGCAAUUUACAUAUAAUAGUUUGCUCAUGGGCAAAACACAUAGUCAGGAUUUAUAAUCUGUAGCAGCAAAGCCCCGGUCAGUAUAAGUCGUAGCUUAAACACUUGUAUUGAUUUAUGCUGUCUCUCAAAUUCUGCUUGUGUAUUAAAGUCAGAACACUGUAGAAGUAUUUUGCUUGAGUCACUAAAACUAAUAACUUUAACAGUUAAGCAAUAAUACAACCAUAGUUGUAAGUGGACAGUGUAUGAUACAUUAAAGCCAGUGUGUUAUUUAUUUACAAAAUACAAAAAAUUACUUUAUUAAUUAUUUGGUGAACACAAUGUGUUUGAAAAUUAAAUAUAAAUGUUGCCAAAAAGGGAAAUAUUACAAAAUAAAUAAAUAUUCCUACCAACAGGUACAAUGGAAGGACUUUUUAGUGUAAUAUUUAAGACAAUUUUCAUUACAAAAAUGUCGUGCCACUGUUGUUGCUGUAACUUGUCAAUAUUUACAUGUAUGAGGUUGCUUCUGAUUUAAACAGUUGCUUUGUAUCCAACUCUUUAAUCUUAAAUGACAUUAAAAAUUUUGUUUUUUCACAUUUUAUUACCACUGACUUGUGAUAGACAGUCUUUGAGCCACAAAGCUUCUGUCUAGGAACAACUUGGUAUAUUCUGCAUUUGUGCCAACAAUUAUUGGUGCCUAUUUGCACUUCUGUAGUAUGAAUGCUUUUAUUGCACAUGUUAUAGCCAUCUGAGACCCUGCAACUAAUGUUUGUCCUUUUUAGACUACAGUAAGUUCAUUAAGGCUUUCAGAAAUUGAGGAUUUUACUAAUUAUUUUAUGUCACAGUAAAAUCAAUUGUGUGUGAAGAGGCUCUACAGUCUGAAUCAUUACACAGUUAUCUGAUGUAUUGUUUCCUUUCUCUAGACUGCUAAACUGAUCUGAUCGUCUCAAGUCUGGUGACCUGCUGCAGAAGCUCUCUCUCUCUCUCUCUAUCAUUAACAAGCCAUUCAGUCUGUCCUAUCACUCUCCCCACUCUAUCUAUUUUGACAAGCCGUUCUAUCUUGCUUCACUCUAUCCCACAAGCUCUAUCUAAGUUAUCAAAAAUCACGUUUUUAACUGGAAUCAAAUUUUGACUGGAAUCAAGUUUUGACUGGAAUAAUCAAGUUUUGACAUGGUCCCAAUUUUUGGGAAAUUGAAGUUACCAGUACUUCAUCUAUCUGUUACAGAAUUCUGAGAGGUCUCUGCUCUCACUGCUCCUUCUUUCCUAUCGUUAAACUCUCUCACAUCCAGUCUUUUUGCUGGAAAUUACAAGUAGAACAUUGAAAUUACAAUAGUAGAAUUACAGUACAGUAGAAACUACUUACACAGCUGUAGAUUUGUAAUUUUAAUUUUUACUUGGAACACUUAGGAAUAAACACUGAUAGUUUGGCUUAGAGGUGCAAUUACUUUGAUUAUAUAAAAUUUACACCUUGAAGGUUUUUUUGUAAUAAGAUAAACUUGUUAUAUUAUACAACACAUUCAGACUGCUGUAUUCACAAAAAUAUUAAAUCAGAUAACUUCAGAUACAUUUUGCUAGUCUGUUUCAUUGUCAGUAAAAUUGGACUAUAGUAGGGUUAUACUAUUAUUAUUUAGGGACAUUUCUGUUACUCAGUGUAAGUGUUCAGACACAAUUGCCAUCGAGAAGCUGCCCUGAGGACCCAGACUUCCUGUUUCCUGACUGCUGCAGAACAUCCAGCUGAAGAAUCCUCAUUGCCUGUCAUCUGAUCACCACACCAUCACAGCUCCUUAUAUUUGCUUUAAAUUUUAAAUAUCUGAAAGAUUUACACAAAGUCUACUUAAAAAAAAGAAAAAAGACUUUUAUUAUAGCCUGUUGAUUAUUGUGAUUUAUUCUGUAUGUCCCUUUACAGAAGCUAAGAUCUAGUCAUUAACAAGUCUGGUUAAAAUAUAAGAAGUAAAAAUAUUCUGUUUUGGAAAAAGCUACAAUAAAACUGAGCAAAGUGUUUUCAAA